rnacentral:lncRNA from 1 species
AUUUCACACGAAAGUACGAAAAAAAUCUAAUUAAAUGGCACUGAACCACUCGAAAAUUCGUCCUGGAAAACCAGGAAAACUAAGUUUCCCUAUAAUUUUCGGAUCAGCUGUUUUGGCAGGCUGCAUAGCAUUUUACAACAGGCGAUUUUUUCUGCAAGGUAUCAGAGAAGAAGCAAUGAAUCUCUUUCAAGAGGAUGUUGAAGCGACUCGCACAAUUGAAGAAUUCAAAAUAAAAUACAAUAGUGAGAAAAACAAAUCUUCCGUCUGAAAAAUCGAACAAAAAAUGAAUUUUUAUUGUUCAAUUUUAUUUUUGUGGAUAACAAAAUGUAGAACCGAAUGGUUUUUGGAGGCACAUUGUUCGGAUAAAAAAAAAAAGUUUCGUUAUCGCCUGCAGUUUUCAUUUAUGCUUUGUCCCUGCAGAUGCUUUCUUGUUUGUUCUUAAUAUCCCAUUGAGCCAUUGACUUGUGUCAAAAUGUCGAAUUUUUGAAAGUUCAUGUUUUUUUAACUUUCCGUUGACAAUAGAGUUAGAAAAUCAUCUCAUAAUAAUAACAAAGAUAUUAAAAAGUUGAUUAAAUGUCGUCGAAUUUCGUGAUUGUACGCCGGAUUCAGUACUUUAUAAUUUUGUUUAAUAUGACGCUGUCAUGUGAGUAAUUUAAGCUAUAGUUACAUAUGAAUAUAAAAUUAUUGUGAAAACUGAUAAUGUGAUAAAUGCUAAAAAGAAACAAUAAUAGUCAAAUAAAGUUUGAAAAAUUUGAUCACCUAAAUAAACCAAUAUAAAAAAAUGAAUCAAUAGGUUAGGAACUGCGAAAUCCUCGUAGAGUUCCUCAUUCCAAUUUCAUCAAUUAUUUUUAUUCCUUUCCAAAUUCAUCCUAGUGAAAUUCUUCAAUGAAAUUCUAUUAGCUUUUUUUUAAAAGUUCACCUCGAAUUCUUUAACCAACAAUAACCGAGCAGAAUAUUUUUUAUCAACUGCUGAGUAACGAAAUUUCACUGUGAAAUUAACCUCAAUUUUCUCCCCACCAUGUUGAAGGCUUUUGAUUUUUUCCAUGUGGAAAUUCCACCACGUAUCCGACAGGUGUAUUAGCAGAAGAAACGAAGUGCAUUUUAUCGAGACGAGGAGAAGAUGGACAUCAAUGGCACAUGUGCAAUGCCACUAUAAAGAUGAGAACUUUUUCAGCUUGUUGUUUCAAUGCUGAGCUCAAUUACUACUAUUGUUGCUCCCCAACCGAAUUCAGUAGUAUGACCCAGAUGAAAAGGGUGGGAGGAGCUGCCAUCGGCGGUACGCUCAUCAUUGUCUUCAUCCUUGUGCUCUGUUUUUUUUCGAAUCGAUGCCCAAUUCGACGUGCAAUUUACAAAACACGUUUGAAUUCACAAGCAAAUGCCGGGAACGUUUCGUAAUUUGAGAUAGGAGCGAAAGAC